UACGUAGGGUGCAAGCGUUGUCCGGAAUUAUUGGGCGUAAAGAGCUCGUAGGCGGUCUGUCGCGUCUGCUGUGAAAACUCGGGGCUUAACCCCGGGCCUGCAGUGGGUAUGGGCAGACUAGAGUGCGGUAGGGGAGACUGGAAUUCCUGGUGUAGCGGUGAAAUGCGCAGAUAUCAGGAGGAACACCGAUGGCGAAGGCAGCUCGCUGGGACGGUACUGACGCUGAGGCGCGAAAGCGUGGGGAGCAAACAGG
rnacentral:rRNA from 1 species